rnacentral:rRNA from 1 species
AGCGAACGCUGGCGGCAGGCCUAACACAUGCAAGUCGAACGGAUCCUUCGGGAUUAGUGGCGGACGGGUGAGUAACACGUGGGAACGUGCCCUUUGGUUCGGAACAACUCAGGGAAACUUGAGCUAAUACCGGAUGUGCCCUUCGGGGGAAAGAUUUAUCGCCAUUGGAGCGGCCCGCGUCUGAUUAGCUAGUUGGUGAGGUAACGGCCCACCAAGGCGACGAUCAGUAGCUGGUCUGAGAGGAUGAUCAGCCACACUGGGACUGAGACACGGCCCAGACUCCUACGGGAGGCAGCAGUGGGGAAUCUUGCGCAAUGGGCGAAAGCCUGACGCAGCCAUGCCGCGUGAAUGAUGAAGGUCUUAGGAUUGUAAAAUUCUUUCAGCGGGGACGAAAAUGACGGUACCCGCAGAAGAAGCGCCGGCUAACUUCGUG